rnacentral:sRNA from 1 species
UUGUCCCGCCCCCUGUGCAUCCGGUGCAAAC